rnacentral:rRNA from 1 species
UGCAAAUUCAUAAGCGGAGGAAAAGAAACCAACCGGGAUUGCCUUAGUAACGGCGAGUGAAGCGGCAAAAGCUCAAAUUUGAAAUCUGGUACCUUCGGUGCCCGAGUUGUAAUUUGGAGAGGGCAACUUUGGGGCCGUUCCUUGUCUAUGUUCCUUGGAACAGGACGUCAUAGAGGGUGAGAAUCCCGUGUGGCGAGGAGUGCGGUUCUUUGUAGAGUGCCUUCGAAGAGUCGAGUUGUUUGGGAAUGCAGCUCUAAGUGGGUGGUAAAUUCCAUCUAAAGCUAAAUAUUGGCGAGAGACCGAUAGCGAACAAGUACAGUGAUGGAAAGAUGAAAAGAACUUUGAAAAGAGAGUGAAAAAGUACGUGAAAUUGUUGAAAGGGAAGGGCAUUUGAUCAGACAUGGUGUUUUGUGCCCUCUGCUCCUUGUGGGUAGGGGAAUCUCGCAUUUCACUGGGCCAGCAUCAGUUUUGGUGGCAGGAUAAAUCCAUAGGAAUGUAGCUUGCCUCGGUAAGUAUUAUAGCCUGUGGGAAUACUGCCAGCUGGGACUGAGGACUGCGACGUAAGUCAAGGAUGCUGGCAUAAUGGUUAUAUGCCUCCCUCUUGAACA